rnacentral:rRNA from 1 species
UACGUAGGGGGCCAGCGUUGUCCGAAGUUACUGGGCGUAAAGCGUGCGUAGGCGGUCUUUUAAGUCGGGGGUGAAAUCCUGGAGCUCAACUCCAGAACUGCCUUCGAUACUGGAAGACUUGAGUCCGGGAGAGGUGAGUGGAACUGCGAGUGUAGAGGUGAAAUUCGUAGAUAUUCGCAAGAACACCAGUGGCGAAGGCGGCUCACUGGCCCGGUACUGACGCUGAGGCACGAAAGCGUGGGGAGCAAACAGG